rnacentral:misc_RNA from 1 species
GAUGAAGGACGCAGCGAAAUGCGAUACUUGGUGUGAAUUGCAGAAUCCCGUGAACCAUCGAGUCUUUGAACGCAAGUUGCGCCCGAAGCCAUUAGGCCGAGGGCACGCCUGCCUGGGCGUCACACGUCGUUGCCCCCCCAUCUACUCCUUCGGGAUUGCGGGGGGCGGAUGAUGGCCUCUCGUGCGCCUCGUCGCGCGGUUGGCCUAAAUGCCAAGUCCUCGGCGACGCACGCCACGACAAUCGGUGGUUGCGAAACCUCGGUUGCCUGUCGUGUGCGGUCGUCGCGCAUCGAGGGCUCGAAAAAAUUGCCGGGCUUCGGCUCGACUUUCAACGCGACCCCAGGUCAGGCGGGGUUACCCGCUGAAUUUAAGCAUAUCAAUAAGCGGAGGA